rnacentral:ncRNA from 1 species
GUAAAUGUGAUGAGGGAGAACUUGCGCUCUAUGUCGUUUCAGAGAACCGGUGGGUGGUGUGAAUCGGUACGAUGGGAAUGCAAACGUCGCUCCUGAACAGCAAAGCUGAACUGCAAAGUAAGCUGCGCCGGUCUCAGCUCCGUAAGGAGUGCAGUCGUUAUUCUGCUAGGGUUGUUUGACCUGAUGAGAGAUGCAGAUAGUUAUAUCUGUAAAAAGGGUGGUACCGCGAGGAUUAUCUCUUGCCCCUUUA